rnacentral:rRNA from 1 species
GACGAACGCUGGCGGCAUGCCUAAUACAUGAAAGUCGAACGAGAUCUUCGGAUCUAGUGGCAGACGGGUGAGGAACACGUGGGAACAUCCCUUUCAGUUCGGACUAACGUUGGGAAACUAACGCUAAUACCGGAUACGUCCUACGGGAGAAAGAUUUAUCGCUGGAAGAUUGGCCCGCGUCUGAUUAGCUAGUUGGUGAGGUAAUGGCUCACCAAGGCUACUAUCAGUAGCUGAUCUGAGAGGAUGAUCAGCCACAUUGGGACUGAGACACGGCGCAAACUCCUACGGGAGGCAGCAGUAGGGAAUUUUGAGCAAUGGGCGAAAUCCUGACGCAGCAACACCGCGUGAGCGAUGAAGCCCUUCGGGGUGUAAAGCUCUGUCGGCAGGGACGAAUAAAUGACGGUACCUGCAAAGGAAGCAUCGGCUAACUACGUGCCAGCAGCCGCGGUAA